UACGUAGGGGGCAACGUUGCUCGGAAUCAUUGGGCGUAAAGCGCGCGUAGGCGGUUACUUAAGUUGGAUGUGAAAGCCCUCGGCUUAACUGAGGAAGUGCAUCCAAAACUGAGUAGCUAGAGUACGAAAGAGGGUCGCGGAAUUCCCGGUGUAGAGGUGAAAUUCGUAGAUAUCGGGAGGAACACCGGUGGCGAAGGCGGCGACCUGGGUCGAGACUGACGCUGAGGCGCGAAAGCGUGGGGAGCAAACAGG
rnacentral:rRNA from 1 species